rnacentral:lncRNA from 1 species
CACCUUGAUACUUUGCAAAAGAAAUGAAAUUAAUAUUAAAUACAAUGACAAAAGACUGGAUAUACAAUAGAAUAAAAGACUAAGACUAUAUAUAGUACAAUAAAUAUGGAGCGAAAGAUAAUACCUUUUUCCCUCCUUAAUUAGUUUCUUUCUACUACAUCCAAACUAACUAAAGCAAAACUUUUGAAGUAGUUUUACACUCAUUGCUCUCACAGCAUUCUCACUCAAGCAAAACUUAGAAGAAAUAUUUUUGAUGUAUCCAUCUAUGAUCUUUAUUUUUUCAUUUCCUUCUCUCAUUAUUAUUUAUAUUUUUACAAUCACCUUAUUUUAUAUGCAUAUGUAAUGCUAUUACUUAUUUUCGUAUACAAAUAUCUAAUGUUAACAUAUAUCAUUCACUUCUCAAUAUUUCCUUUUCAUUGUGUCCAUAUCUUGUGUAUCAUUCAUUGAAUGAUCUUCAUGGUCAAUUGAUCCUGUCAACAUAAAAAAUAAUUUUUGUAAAUUUUGUCUUAUGCAGAUUGUGCUUGAAAUAGAAAAAUGGAAGAUACACAUGGUGAUAAAGGCAAAGACUCCUCUGCCCAAGAAAGUAAUGUAAGUGUAGAGAUCUCUAAUUUUGAUACUUACAAUUAAAAAUUAUUAUUGUAGAUUUCAGCGUUAACGAGCCUAAUAUUUGUAACACUAGCAAGAACUUUGUUUUUGAGAUUGGCAUGAAAUUUAAUUCGGAAGAGAAAUCAUACAAUGCAUAUAAUUCAUAUGUCGUGGCAAGAGGUUUUGGUGUUCGAAAGGGAGGAAAGACUAAUAAUGUAAAAGGAGAGACAACAAGACGUUUAUUUCUUUGUUCUUGUGAAGGAUAAUCGGAUAAACUUUCUCCUUUUCAAGAAAGAAAGCGACAAAGAUUAGAAUAUAGAUGUGGUUGUAUGGCUCGUAUAAAAUUUAAAAUUUCAAAUGAAAUAUGGGAAGUUUGUGAAUUUAAUGAUGUGCAUAGUCAUCCCAUGAUAGAAGAUCAUUUGAAACAUUUCAUACAUUCUGGUCGUAGGCUUACAAAUGCUACUAAAAAUAUUCUUGGUUCUAUGAUUGAUGCCGGUAUUCAUACAAAAAAAGUUGUUCGAUAUCUUCAGAAUGAAGCGGGUGGAGUUGAAAAUAUAGGAUUCAUUGAACAAGAUGCUCAUAACUUUGUUCAAGCACAUAAGAGAAAUAUGAUUAGUAGUGGAGAUGCUCAAACUUUGAUAAAUCAUUUUAUGCAUUUGCAAUCAGAGAACUCAAACUUCUUCUAUUCUUUUCAAGUUGAUGAAGAUGGUAGGUUGUGCAAUUUUUUUUUGGAGAGAUAGUAUAUAUAAAUUGCACUAUGAGUGUUUUGGGGGUGUGAUGAUUUUUGACACUACUUAUUGUACAAAUAGAUAUGACAUGAUUUAUGCUCCAUUUGCUAGUGUGAACAACCACUGGAAAAAUACCUUUUUUGGUUGUGCAUUCUUAUGCAAUGAAACCANNNNNNNNNNNNNNNNNNNNNNNNNNNNNNNNNNNNNNAAGGCAAUGUGGGGAAAAAAACCAAAGACAAUUUUUACAGAUUAAGCUCCUGCCAUAGCCUUUGCAAUUAAAGAGUCUUUCCUAACAUAUGUCAUCGACUAUGCAAAUGGCAUAUUGAUAGAAAUGCUCAAAAAAAAUAUACCCUAGCUUUACUUUAAGUCGGAAUUUCGACACUAUUUUGAUACACUCUUGUGGAGGUGCAAUUCGAAAUUAGAAUUUGAUUUAGUAUGGCAUAAAAUGAUAAGUGAAUGGGAUCGUGCGAGUAAUACUUGGCUUCAAAAGUUAUAUGACUUGAGAAAAAAGUGGUGUCCUGCAUUUAGCUAUUUAAUUUUCUCGGCAGACAUCAAAUCAACUCAAAGAAGUGAGAGCACAAAUAGGGUCUUCACAGAAAUGACAUGCGAGGCAAUGAGUAUAACUGAGUUUGUAAAGCAUUAUGAGCAGCGAACAACUAAAAUGCGAGAUAUUAAAGAAGCCGAGGAUUAUAAAUCUCGAAGAAUGCCUAAAAUAUCCAUAGAAGAUUGUGGGAUGUUAAAACAUGUUGCUAGUGUGUACACUAGGAGAAUUUACACAAAAUUCCAACAUGAAUUUUUGCAGAGGGCAACCAAAAGAACACUCAGUGCUGAAACUAAUGACAAUACUACCAAAUAUACAAUUUUAAAGGGUGAAAAUGGACAAACUGAAGUUGUCCAGUUUGAUUCCCUUGAAAAUUCAAUUAUUUGUAGUUAUCAUAUGUUUGAGUCCAUGGGUUGGUUAUGUUGUCACGCACUAAAAGUUCUAUUCUUUGACUUGAAUUUUUCUUACCUUCCUUAGAAAUACAUUUUGAAAAGAUGGUCCAAGAAUGUUAAGCAUGGAGACAAAUUUGAGGAAUACACCACAAAGAAGAAAACAGUAAAAUCCUCUAUGGCAAUUCAUUUGAAUGGUUUAAUGAAACAGGCAUUUGAUGUUAUGACUUUAGCUGUAAAUGAUGAGGAUUCCGAAAAAAUUGCUAGAAAAUAUUUGUAUCUAGCAAGAAUCGAGAUUAGUAAACAUUAAAGUGAGAUAUAUAAUGGAGAUUGUGGUAAAAAUAAACACAGAUUUAGUUCUGUUGUUUCUGUAAUAUGGUGUACAUAUCAAAUUUUGGAUCCAAUAAAACAAAAAAAAAGGGAAAUGGAUAUGGAAGAAUGAAGCCAAAAGGUGAGCAAAAAAAGAAAAAAUCAUCACAGAUGGCAUUCAAAAACAGAGCAGUACUAGCACAGAAUCAUCAAUCUUUGAAUACAGCACUGGCUUUUGGCACACAAUCAACCUCGGUACAGCUAAUACAACAUCAGUCCAUGAAAUUAAUUUCUGAGGUUUGAUUUCUCUUCUAAUCUGUUUCUAAAUAUAACUAACAGAGACUUUAAUAUAUUUUUUUUAUGACUAUUAAUUUAUUUUUUAAAAAUCAAAUACGCAGUUACAUGCAGAUUCACCCAGCAUUUUCAGUCAAUUUUUGACUCAAAAUAUGAAUCUGCAAUCUGAAGCUUGCAUGCAGAGUCAGGGAUCAAAUAAAUAAAUUUCAGAAGAAAUUCAAUUUUAUUUUUGAAGGAGAUUAUAUUUUGGACUUGAUUUUUUGUAUAAUAUGCUCUUAGUUUAGCAAUAAAAUCAGUGCAAAUAAAUACUAUUUUUGUAUUUUGAUGUUACAAUUAACAUGCAAAGAAAAUAUAUUAAAAUUUAAAUUAUCAUGUAUUUAUAAAAAAUUUUAUUUAGUUGUGUAGACAGCAUAAAGAUCUCAUAAAAAAAUGAAGAAAGCUUCAUACCUGAAAUUAUGGAUGAUUAAAUAAGCAAAAGAAAAUCCUUGGAGAUUUCACCCAAUUUUUAUCCUUUUUUACAUUAGAUUGAAAGGGGUUUUCUCCUAUAUUCUCUUCGUCUUCGAAUCUCAAUUCGUUUUUCUUUGAAUCCGCAGCAACACUAACUAAUAUUAAAUAUCAAAAUUUUAAAGAAAUUUCUUAACUUGGUCUACAUAAACUUUUUGAUUUUAACAAGGCUUUUAAGUAAAAAAAAAAAAAGAAAGAACAAGGCGUGGGUCUGAGAAAAAGGAAGAAUAAGGUGUGGGUCUGUUUUGAUUUUAACAAGGCUUUUGAGUUAAAAGAAAAAGAAAGAACAAGGCAUGAAUUUUCAAGUGUUUGUUUGGUUUCUGAAGAAAUGUCUUCUUUCAAAGGAUAACAAUGAAUGCAUGUGGACCCCACCAUCUACUAACAUUUCA